rnacentral:tRNA from 1 species
CGGGGCGUGGCGCAGCCUGGUAGCGCGCCUGGUUUGGGACCAGGAGGUCCCCGGUUCAAAUCCGGGCGCCCCGACCA